ACAAUUUGUGUGUGUGUGUGUGUGUGUGUGCGCGCGUGUAAGUGUGACAAUACUAUAACAAUAACGAUAAUAUGUGUUACAAAGUGUACGUACAAUAUAGCUAUAAUGUGUACACACAUUUACAUACCUAUCGUAUUAUAUUAUAAUGUCGCUAUAUUUGAACUAUUAAAAUGGCACGACCUUGUGCCACUAUUAUAACGUUUAUAUCGUGUGCAAUACCUAUAUACUGCGAAUGCAUCAUCGGGGUGUGUACAAAGGGAGUCUCAUCAGUCAUAGAAUCGCGGUCGCGGCGAUAACACGCGUUGAACUCUAUCUUGAAAAACAACACUCGGCAAUUGCGGCAGAAUAUCGCCGUCAAAACGAGUAGCUCGAAACGUAGAACAGCGCGGAAUUGAAAUUUGAUGACCGCUUCACCGUCGUAACAUCGUAAUAUUAUUUUCGACCACGUCGGAAUCACAGGCAACUAUAAUAUAUAUAGGUGUACAUUAGUUUAUUCCGUUGAUGUCGUAAAACCGUUAUAUGGUUGUAUGGUAUUCAAAUAUUGUACCCAUUAAUCACGAUGCGUGUUACUGACUAUUUUUCAGACUAAACGUCAUCGCCUACGUGUUAUAUAUAUAUAUAUGUAUGCCGUAUGAGUUGAUAGGUACAUCUCGUCGAUAAAUCUUGUUUUUAAUUAUUAUAUGAACAGUUUUAAAACGACCAGG